AUGUUGAUUAAAGACCUCUUUAGAAGGGAGAUAUUGUUUUACCAGCCACUGUUCAGUGGUACCAAUGUCCACUAAUAAUCACACCACCAAGUCCGCCAUGGUGUAGUAGUGUGUAGUAGUGUGUAGCCGUGUAUAGUAGUGUGUAGCAGUGUGUAGUAGUGUGUAGUAGUGUGUAGUAAUGUGUGGUAGUGUGUAGAAAUGUUCAGUAGUGUUUAGUAGUGUGUAGUAGUGUGUAGUAGUGUGUAGUAGUGUGUAGAAAUGUUCAGUAGUGUAUAGUAGUGUAUAGUAGUGUGUAGUAGUGUAUAGUAGUGUGUAGUAGUGUGUGGUAGUGUGUAGUAGUGUGUAGUAGUGUUUAGUAGGCCAUAGUAGUGUGUAGUAGUGUAUAGUAGUGUAUAGUAGGCCAUAGUAGUGUGUAGUAGUGUAUAGUAGUGUGUAGUAGUGUGUAGAAAUGUUCAGUAGUGUGUAGAAAUGUAUAGCAGUGUGUAGUAGUGUUUAGUAGGCCAUAGUAGUGUGUAGUAGUGUGUAGUAGUGUGUAGUAGGCCAUAGUAGUGUGUAGUAGUGUGUAGUAGUGUUUAGUAGUGUGUAGUAGUGUGUAGUAGUGUGUAGUAGUGUGUAGCAGUGUAUAGUAGUGUUUAGUAGUGUGUAGCAGUGUAUAGUAGUGUUUAGUAGUGUGUAGUAGUGUUUAGUAGUCCAUAGUAGUGUGUAGUACUGUGUAGUAGGCCAUAGUAGUGUGUAGUAGUGUGUAGUACUGUGUAGUAGGCCAUAGUAGUGUGUAGUAGUAUAUAGCAGUGUAUAGUAGUGUAUAGUAGUGUGUAGUAGUAUAUAGCAGUGUAUAGUAGUGUAUAGUAGUAUAUAGCAGUGUGUAGUAGUAUAUAGUAGUGUAUAGUAGUGUAGUGUAGUAGUGUAUAGUAGUGUAUUGUAGUGUGUAGUAGUGUGUAGUAGUGUGUAGUAGUAUAUAGUAGUGUAUAGUAGUGUAUAGUAGUGUAUAGUAGUGUAUAUUAGUGUAUUGUAGUGUAUAGUAGUGUAUUGUAGUGUGUAGUAGUGUGUAGCAGUGUGUAGUAGCAUAUAGUAGUGUGUAGUAGUAUGUAGUAGGCCAUAGUAGUGUAUAGUAGUGUGUAGUAGUGUAUAGUAGUGUGUAGUAGUGUGUAGUAGUGUAUAGUAGUGUAUAGUAGUGUGUAGUAGUGUGUAGUAGGCCAUAGCAGUGUAUAGUAGUGUAUUGUAGUGUGUAGUAGUGUAUAGCAGUGUGUAGUAAGAGUCUUCCCUGUAGCUCAGUUGGUAGAGCAUGGUGUUUGCAACGCCAGGGUUGUGGAUUCGAUUCCCACGGGGGACCAGUACGGGGAAAAAAAUUUAUGAAAUGUAUGCAUUCACUACUGUUAAUCGCUCUGGAUUAGAGCGUCUGCUA
rnacentral:tRNA from 1 species